UUGAGGUCCCUUCGAAUGCACUCCUGUUUGAACGAUGACAGUCUUGUCACAUUUGCAAAGGCAACCCAAAAUGGCCAUUUCCUUGGACUUCAUAAACUCAUUAUAGACUGCAGCAUCAACACCACAGAGAGAGGCUGGCAGGAAUUGUUCCACUGUCUGGGGCGCCUGAGUAACCUGGUGAAGGUGGACAUCUCCAGACCCGUGUCUCAUCUGAUGAAACCUUCUUCCCGUCUUGUCAUCACCUUUGUAAGGGCCAUCGCGCAGCUCCCCAGAAUCCAGCAUGUUCUUCUGCUGGGCUGGCUGCUGGACGAAAUGGACCGGAAGCUGUUUGAAGACAUGAAGAAGAGGCAUCCUCAGUCACAACACAUUAGUUUGACCUACAAGUUCCACGUUCAGCCAAAGAUUGUAGAGAGCGUUUGAGCUUUAGUUGGCAACACGUACCACAACUUAAACAACAGAAAUCCAUCCCCUUUCGACCAUCGCUUUCAGACGCUGUUGGCACAUGAUGAAGUACAGGUGUACUUGAAAUGAAAUGAGAUUUGUACUUGUACUAAUUAACUGCUGUCUCUGUGUUUUUCUAUUAUUGGAAAAUAAGACUGAAAAACCUCUAAAUAUAUUAAUAUUAAUUAUAUUUUCAUUUUCCUGAGCAAGGUCUGAAACAACUCCUUAAGCCUUGCAAUCUAACACUGACUGUUCUUGGAUCCUAUGGGGAAAUAGAAAGGGCAGAAGGGUCAUGAUCUGUUUUGUAACCAAGUGUAUUCUGUAAAAGGAUGUGAUGAACUGUCUCCAGUCAUUCGUCCUGCUCUCCUAAUAUGGACUAGCUGUAGAUUGCUGUAAUAUCUCUCGCUGUGCUGUUGUUACCGAGGGAGCUUGGUAAAGUCCCUGAUUAUCUCCAGCUGGCAGAAGAAAUAAAGCUGCAGACUGUU